UACGGGGGGAGCAAGCGUUGUUCGGAUUUACUGGGCGUAAAGGGCGCGUAGGCGGUCAGCACAAGUCAGUUGUGAAAUCUCCGGGCUUAACUCGGAAAGGUCAACUGAUACUGUGCGACUAGAGUGCGGAAGGGGCAACUGGAAUUCUCGGUGUAGCGGUGAAAUGCGUAGAUAUGGAGAGGAACACCUGCGGCGAAGGCGGGUUGCUGGGCCGACACUGACGCUGAUGCGCGAAAGCCAGGGGAGCGAACGGG
rnacentral:rRNA from 1 species